rnacentral:rRNA from 1 species
UACGAAGGGGGCUAGCGUUGCUCGGAAUCACUGGGCGUAAAGGGUGCGUAGGCGGGUCUUUAAGUCAGGGGUGAAAUCCUGGAGCUCAACUCCAGAACUGCCUUUGAUACUGAGGAUCUUGAGUUCGGGAGAGGUGAGUGGAACUGCGAGUGUAGAGGUGAAAUUCGUAGAUAUUCGCAAGUACACCAGUGGCGAAGGCGGCUCACUGGCCCGAUACUGACGCUGAGGCACGAAAGCGUGGGGAGCAAACAGG